rnacentral:lncRNA from 1 species
AGACAUAUGUGCUCUAUUUGACUUCUGUGCUGAAAUGCUUGUAGGCAGUGAACAGCAUAACAUGUUGGGGACUGAACUACUGCUGCUUUCUUCUAUCUUCAUCUACAAACAGGUAAAAAGUACAAAGCAGCACCCAGGUGUAAUUUCAGUGUUCCUGAGGAUAAGAAACAUCUUGCAGCAAAGACUACACCUUCACAAAAUUUUAUGUACUAAGCA